UACGUAGGGUGCAAGCGUUGUCCGGAAUUAUUGGGCGUAAAGAGCUCGUAGGCGGUUUGUUGCGUCGGCUGUGAAAUCCCGAGGCUCAACCUCGGGUCUGCAGUCGAUACGAGCAAACUAGAGUGUUGCAGGGGGAGACUGGAAUUCCUGGUGUAGCGGUGAAAUGCGCAGAUAUCGGGAGGAACACCUAUGGCGAAGGCAGCUCGCUGGGACGUUACUGACGCUGAGACGCGAAAGCGUGGGGAGCAAACAGG
rnacentral:rRNA from 1 species